GGGCCCGUAGCUUAGCCUGGUAGAGCACCGGGCUCUUAACCCGGGGGUCUCUUUAAGCCCAAAGCGGGUUCAAAUCCCGCCGGGCCCG
rnacentral:tRNA from 1 species